AUUGAACGCUGGCGGCAGGCCUAACACAUGCAAGUCGAACGGUAACAGGAAGAAGCUUGCUUCUUUGCUGACGAGUGGCGGACGGGUGAGUAAUGUCUGGGAAACUGCCUGAUGGAGGGGGAUAACUACUGGAAACGGUAGCUAAUACCGCAUAACGUCGCAAGACCAAAGAGGGGGACCUUCGGGCCUCUUGCCAUCGGAUGUGCCCAGAUGGGAUUAGCUAGUAGGUGGGGUAACGGCUCACCUAGGCGACGAUCCCUAGCUGGUCUGAGAGGAUGACCAGCCACACUGGAACUGAGACACGGUCCAGACUCCUGCGGGAGGCAGCAGUGGGGAAUAUUGCACAAUGGGGGCAAGCCUGAUGCAGCCAUGCCGCGUGUAUGAAGAAGGCCUUCGGGUUGUAAAGUACUUUCAGCGGGGAGGAAGGGAGUAAAGUUAAUACCUUUGCUCAUUGACGUUACCCGCAGAAGAAGCACCGGCUAACUCCGUG
rnacentral:rRNA from 1 species